GGAAAAAUACCAUGCAAAACUUUACAAGAACAGCAUUGAGCAGUUUCAAUGUAACUCAACCAGAUGUGUUUAAAAAAAACAUUUAUGUCCAUAAAUAGUUUAUGCAUGUUGACCACUUUAUUUGUAUGUUUUGUUUACCACGUGGUAUUGUUUUCCACUACUGUGUAUUUUUAGUUUAGGCAUGCGCACUGGCAAGUUAUGCAUAUUAGCUAGUCUGCGCAUGCGUAGUCAUUGUUCAUUUUGUAAACAUCCAUGAUUGUCUACGGUUUGUGAAAGAAGAUGUGUACAUGAAUUACGACCCCGUCCGUCCAAUUUUACGAUAUUCUGCGACUUCAACAAUUCACUAACGGGACCUGGUGUGUGUUCUCAUAGGUAACGUUAUCUAUAUCCCGUUUUUUAGCGAUUUAUCAAGGCUUCAUGGUACUGCAGAAGUGAUUUUCGCGCGGUUCAAAAUGGGGCCAGUGACACUCCAGUCAUAACAUUGUUGCCCAUCGAUGCCAAAGUUAUUGUGUGCGAUGUACCAGAGACGUGGAUGUAAUUUAUUAUACAGCAGUUUGAACUUGUGUAUAUUUGCGUGUAAUGUGUGAAAAUAUCUGUGUCAAAUUUUUCUAUUGUUUAUUUCAUAAUGUCAACAUUGAGACUGGGCGAUUCGCAUGUGAAAAGACUCAAAACAUUCUUAGGUUCAUGUCGUUCCGCUAAUUUUGUGUUUAAUAUAUAUGAACUCAAAGAGGUGAACUAUUCCGGUAUAAGUGGAGGACUUGUGAACAAUGGUCACCAUCUAUCCCUUAUUACAUCUGCAGUACGACGGUGUAGACCUCAGCACCUAAUUGUUUUCAUUGGAGGCAAUGAUUUGGACUCGAGUGAACUAGAUUUUAGUUUGGAAUGUAUUGUUUCUAAAUUGACUGCCAAUGUGACUCAACUUAAAAGGUGUUUCCAUUUAAAGUCUGUUACCGUGCUUAGUUUUCUCCCUAGAGAAGUGACUUAUUUAUAAUCAACGAGUCAAAAAAGCCACUAGACUUCUUAAGCAAUUUUGUGCUUGUCACACAGUAACAUUUUGGAAGCUGAGAGGAUUCGCGGAAAGUCAGAAACCAAUCUUAUGCGACGGGGUUCAUCUUAAUGACUUGGGGUUCCAUAAACUGUUUAGACAGAUUAGAGGUGUCCUAUUAAUUCAGCUAAGACAGGAACCCAAGCAUAGUCCUUCUGUAAACAGCAAUGACGACAGGGGCUUCUAGCUUUCAAAGCAUCCAGAUCAAUCUGAAGAUAAGACUUUGCAUCACUUGUUAUAAUUUGUUUGGAUACAGAUUUUGAUGGCAUCCACACCAAAACGCAGGAGGCGGAACAAGACAGCCUCGCAUCCUCCCACAGAAACCCAACCUCAAAGCGGUCUUAUGUCUCAUGAGGACAGGGACACAAUGAUAAGGACGUGCAUGGCCUCUAUCAUCCCAACCAUUGAAAAUACUUGUCGACGCUAUAUGGAUGAAUAUCCCCAUGGUGAGAGCAAUCCUUCAUUGUCAAUCCCCAUGCAGACUGCAACUUCACAACAGCAAUCAGCCGACACUCAACAAGCCUCUUCGCAAGCAGUAACACCUGACCAUUCCCUACUGCAAGAGAUAACUUCUCAAGAUGGCAUCCACACCAAAACGCAGGAGGCGGAACAAGGCAGCCUCGCAUCCUCCCACAGAAACCCAACCUCAAAGCGGUCUUAUGUCUCAUGAGGACAGGGAAACAAUGAUAAGGACGUGCAUGACCUCUAUCAUCCCAACCAUUGAAGAUACUUUUCGACGCUAUAUGGAUGAAUAUCACCAUGGUGAGAGCAAUCCUUCAUCGUCAAUCCCCAUGCAGACUGCAACUUCACAACAGCAAUCAGCUGACAUCCAACAAGCCUCUUCGCAAGCAGUAACACCUGAACAUUCCCUACUGCAAGAGAUAACUUCUCAAGGUAUGCAGUUGCUUAAUCAGAAUACUGAAGGGGAUUCACGCUCGGCAACUGGUUUAACAUUGGGUGUAAAUUCCAAAAUGAGGGCAAAAAUCCACGCCAAUGAGUUCAUCAAAUUUACUGAUAACUACUGAUAACUGUCCUAUUGCCGAAGCUUAAUAUUCAUUUGUUUCCGAACAUUUUUUCAUUAAAGUUUUGCCUUUUUAAUUAAAGUAUUUUUUUAUAUCUUGAUAUAGAGUUCUCCUCCCAAAGGAGAACCAUAUAGUGUAAAAAUAAAAUGUUCACAACUAUUAAGCAACUUUUACUGACUAUGUUAUAGACAACAAUUAAACUAACAACUAUUCGGGUAAAAUACUCAUCCAAACUUGAUAUAAUUUGUUAAGAUCAGCAGUUUCAAAAUAUAUUAAUUUGUUUUGCCAAAUGAUUUUGAUCAUGAUGAGACAGACAAGUAUAAAUCAGUUGAUAAAAAUGGUGAGCUCAUUUUUGUUAAGGCAAACGACAAGAGUCCUAUCAAAUCUAUAAC